rnacentral:rRNA from 1 species
GACGAACGCUGGCGGCGUGCUUAACACAUGCAAGUCGAACGGAAAGGCCCUGCUUUUGUGGGGUGCUCGAGUGGCGAACGGGUGAGUAACACGUGAGUAACCUGCCCUUGACUUUGGGAUAACUUCAGGAAACUGGGGCUAAUACCGGACAUGAGCUCCUGCUGCAUGGUGUGGGUUGGAAAGUUUCGGCGGUUGGGGAUGGACUCGCGGCUUAUCAGCUUGUUGGUGGGGUAGUGGCUUACCAAGGCUUUGACGGGUAGCCGGCCUGAGAGGGUGACCGGCCACAUUAGGACUGAGAUACGGCCCAGACUCCUACGGGAGGCAGCAGUGAGGAAUAUUGCACAAUGGGCGGAAGCCUGAUGCAGCAACGCCGCGUGCGGGAUGACGGCCUUCGGGUUGUAAACCGCUUUCGCCUGUGACGAAGCGUGAGUGACGGUAAUGGGUAAAGAAGCACCGGCUAACUACGUG